rnacentral:rRNA from 1 species
CUAUUGGAGAGUUUGAUCCUGGCUCAGGACGAACGCUGGCGGCGUGCCUAAUACAUGCAAGUCGAGCGGUUCUUAGGAAGCUUGCUUCCUAAGAAUAGCGGCGGACGGGUGAGUAACACGUGGGCAACCUACCUAUAAGACUGGGAUAACUUCGGGAAACCGGAGCUAAUACCGGAUAAUAUAAGAGAUUACAUGAUCUUUUAUUGAAAGAUGGCUUCGGCUAUCACUUAUAGAUGGGCCCGCGGCGCAUUAGCUAGUUGGUGAGGUAACGGCUCACCAAGGCGACGAUGCGUAG